GUAAUAUAUCGGAACGUGCCCAGUCGUGGGGGAUAACGUAGCGAAAGUUACGCUAAUACCGCAUACGAUCUACGGAUGAAAGCGGGGGACCGUAAGGCCUCGCGCGAUUGGAGCGGCCGAUAUCAGAUUAGGUAGUUGGUGGGGUAAAGGCUCACCAAGCCAACGAUCUGUAGCUGGUCUGAGAGGACGACCAGCCACACUGGAACUGAGACACGGUCCAGACUCCUACGGGAGGCAGCAGUGGGGAAUUUUGGACAAUGGACGCAAGUCUGAUCCAGCCAUUCCGCGUGCAGGAUAAAGGCCCUCGGGUUGUAAACUGCUUUUGUACGGAACGAAAAGGUCUCUCUUAAUACGAGGGGCUCAUGACGGUACCGUAAGAAUAAGCACCGGCUAACUACGUGCCAGCAGCCGCGGUAAUACGUAGGGUGCAAGCGUUAAUCGGAAUUACUGGGCGUAAAGCGUGCGCAGGCGGUUAUGUAAGACAGAGGUGAAAUCCCCGGGCUCAACCUGGGAACUGCCUUUGUGACUGCAUAGCUAGAGUACGGUAGAGGGGGAUGGAAUUCCGCGUGUAGCAGUGAAAUGCGUAGAUAUGCGGAGGAACACCGAUGGCGAAGGCAAUCCCCUGGACCUGCACUGACGCUCAUGCA
rnacentral:rRNA from 1 species